GACGAACGCUGGCGGCGUGCCUAAUACAUGCAAGUAGAACGCUGAAGGAGGAGCUUGCUUCUCCGGAUGAGUUGCGAACGGGUGAGUAACGCGUAGGUAACCUGCCUGGUAGCGGGGGAUAACUAUUGGAAACGAUAGCUAAUACCGCAUAAGAGUAGAUGUUGCAUGACAUUUGCUUAAAAGGUGCAAUUGCAUCACUACCAGAUGGACCUGCGUUGUAUUAGCUAGUUGGUGAGGUAACGGCUCACCAAGGCAACGAUACAUAGCCGACCUGAGAGGGUGAUCGGCCACACUGGGACUGAGACACGGCCCAGACUCCUACGGGAGGCAGCAGUAGGGAAUCUUCGGCAAUGGACGGAAGUCUGACCGAGCAACGCCGCGUGAGUGAAGAAGGUUUUCGGAUCGUAAAGCUCUGUUGUAAGAGAAGAACGAGUGUGAGAGUGGAAAGUUCACACUGUGACGGUAUCUUACCAGAAAGGGACGGCUAACUACGUGCCAGCAGCCGCGGUAAUACGUAGGUCCCGAGCGUUGUCCGGAUUUAUUGGGCGUAAAGCGAGCGCAGGCGGUUAGAUAAGUCUGAAGUUAAAGGCUGUGGCUUAACCAUAGUACGCUUUGGAAACUGUUUAACUUGAGUGCAAGAGGGGAGAGUGGAAUUCCAUGUGUAGCGGUGAAAUGCGUAGAUAUAUGGAGGAACACCGGUGGCGAAAGCGGCUCUCUGGCUUGUAACUGACGCUGAGGCUCGAAAGCGUGGGGAGCAAACAGG
rnacentral:rRNA from 1 species